rnacentral:rRNA from 1 species
UGCCGCGUGUGUGAUGAAGGCCCUAGGGUUGUAAAGCACUUUCAACGGUGAAGAUGAUGACGGUAGCCGUAGAAGAAGCCCCGGCUAACUUCGUGCCAGCAGCCGCGGUAAUACGAAGGGGGCGAGCGUUAUUCGGAAUUAUUGGGCGUAAAGGGCUCGCAGGCUGCUUGAACAGUUAGACGUGAAAUCCCCGGGCUCAACCUGGGAACUGCGUUUAAUACUAGCAAGCUAGAGAGAUAGAGAGGAAAGUGGAACUCCCAGUGUAGAGGUGAAAUUCGUAGAUAUUGGGAAGAACACCAGUGGCGAAAGCGACUUUCUGGCUAUUUUCUGACGCUGAGGAGCGAAAGCGUGGGGAGCAAACAGGAUUAGAUACCCUGGUAGUCCACGCCGUAAACGAUGUGUGCUAGAUGUUGGAAGGUUACCUUUCAGUGUCGCAGCUAACGCACUAAGCACACCGCCUGGGAAGUACGGUCGCAAGAUUAAAACUCANNGGAAUUGACGG